AGUGAAGUGGAGGAACGACCGCGGCAGACGAGCAGUGUGGCCAACAGAACUGCGUCCAACCGACGCUGCGGACUGAACGAAAACAAAAACAACACGCGCGCCACUCCAAUAUCAAUACAAUAAUAACUUUUACAGAUUUUUAGUCCCGGUGAUCUGGAUCUUCGUCCGAGUUUAUCAUAUUAUUAUCUUUCAUAUCAUAAUCGUUUUUGAUAAGGCUGAUCAAUGACUCAAAUACUCAAUACUCAUUGUUUUGUUGGGUGGACUGGCGACGGCACUGUAGUAACUAGUAGUAGCAGACAGCAGUAGUGCAGUACCUACUACCUAAUACUUAAUAUUUAAUUAUGCAAUUAUAUUUUAUACUAUAUUAUA